rnacentral:rRNA from 1 species
UACGAAGGGUGCAAACGUUGCUCGGAAUUAUUGGGCGUAAAGCGCACGUAGGCGGCUUGGCAAGUCGGAUGUGAAAGCCCUCGGCUCAACUGAGGAAGUGCACCCGAAACUGGCGAGCUUGAGUACGAAAGAGGAUCGCGGAAUUCCCGGUGUAGAGGUGAAAUUCGUAGAUAUCGGGAGGAACACCGGCGGCGAAGGCGGCGAUCUGGGUCGAUACUGACGCUGAGGUGCGAAAGCGUGGGGGAGCAAACAGG